UGAGGACCGAGCCGCUGUCUCUUCUUCUACUACGACACAACGAAACAAGGAAAAGGCAAAAAGUCGACAGCAUUAACAAGGUAUCGACGUUAUUUUUUCCGCUUGUAUGACUUAUUUGAAACGGUCGCCUUUUGCUGCUAAUACAAGUUACAAUACAAUAAUACACAAUUGCUAAUUAUGUUAAUUGGACUAAUGACCCAAGCUAACAGUCAAGGCAAGACGGUUUGAUAGUAGCUAAUUGACACAGACUUACCUAUCAAGCUAAUCGAGACGCUGGGUUGUUGGCAGUCAACGAAAGAGGCCACAUUUAAGUUUUUUUUUCCAUUUGAAGCAUCAAUGGUAAAAUACAAAAAACCCAAGGAGGCCGUGAUGACGUGUGACGUCAUCGAGAGGCACUAGCUACACUUGCUAACGUCACAUCAAACCUGACUGGAAAGAACAGCUUGGAGGUUUUACUGUGACUGUAACUGUACUUUUUGUUUAAUUCAUUUAAAACACAAUGAUAUAACGACGCACCUUGGACUUGGAAUAGAAUGCUAACAGCCGAAUAGACCUGUUGCUUUAGGACGCCAGAGUAAACAGGGUCUCUGGGUGCCCAGGGAGCUAAGACCAUUCCAGGUCGUGCGGAGGCCCAGAGUAGAGACCACAUCUCCACUGCAGCAGGGUACAGGAUUCACACUCGUGUAGGCGCUUCCACUCUGAGACAGAGGAGCCGGUUUAAGCACAUCAAGUCGACUGCGGAUUAUGUUUGUAGAUAUUACCCGAAGAAUCAGCGGUGCGCUUUCUCAAAAGAGACACAGACAAUUACAGAUCUGAUAACCCCUGAGUUGUAUCGCCGCCGUUGCCGUGUGUUUACACUAUCUGACAUGGCUGAAACAACAGCACAAAUAAGAACACCGAGCAGAUUCUCAUCUCAGCUUUCCUCACCCGCUGCUUAUCACAAACCACAAAAAUCACUGUCAGACCGCGCUUGGAACGGGAACAAAAAGCCGGCGAGCACUCGCUCACAUCUGUACACACAAACAGCCUUCAUAUCCAAUUUUAUUUGGGGGGGUUGUGUUUGUUAGUUGCUGCUGGAAAUAUUCUGUAAUACUAUUUCCACACAGAUCCCCUU
rnacentral:lncRNA from 1 species